UUAGGCAAUGGAUGUCUUGGCUUCUUACACGAUGAAGAACGUUGCAUAAUGCGAUAAGCGGCUGGAUUAGCUUUCUUUGCGACAAGUUCGAUCUUUGAAUGCACAUUGCGCGCCGUUUUAGCUUGCUAGAACACGCAUAUAUGUUACAGUAACCCAUAUU
rnacentral:rRNA from 1 species